ensembl:lncRNA
AAAGAAUGGGUCGAGGUGGCAGCUAAAGAACUGAAACACAUACUCUGACGCGUUAAAUCCUGCUCUGUUAAAACCGAGAUCACUUCACGAACCUUUUAAACAACCCGGAAUCACCAGACCGGAAGUGAGGAUCUCUGUGGAAACUGGUAGGGACACAGCGGAUCACAGGAUGUGUGAAAUGUAACCCGAACUCCAAGACUUGAGUGCAAACACCAUCAAGCCUGACUUCCAGAAAAGCAGAGACUUCUUCUCCCAGCAGGAGUAGGAAAACAAGAUUGUGUGGCCUACAACAAAAAUACUUGAACUUGUGUAAUAAAAUUUAAACAAUGCAAUCACUGCACUACACCUGCACGUAUCCAUUCAGUCAGCCAAUGUGUUAUCGGGUUAAUGUCGUGUCUCUCAGACAGCAUUUGCACCACCGGGACACUUGAACUCUCACCCCCUGCCAGAAUGCCCUGAUAUUAGAAGAUACGGCCAGGCAUGCCAUUUGGUCUCUGUGGUUUCCUCACUACUUAGCCAGUUGCAUCAAAAUUCGCAGUGGGGUGGGUAGAUGUCUUUGAUAGUGACUUGUAUGUAUACAUUUGUGUUUGACUCCAGUGGUGACAGGAAAAACUUGUCCAGUCCAAUGUCUUUAAUGCUACCACUGUGAGGUGCACUGUAUUUUGACAUCUGCGGUGACAAUAUAGGAUCCUUGUUGCCUAAUUCUAAGUCAUUUCUCUCUUGCUUUGUGCAGGGUGGGCAAAUUAGGCAGAUGGCUUGGCUCAGGAUCUCCAAAAUCCAUCAGCUUUGUUGCCUCUGAUGCCCUCCAUACAUGGGGUUCCGUUCUACCCUCACACAGUUCUUUGGCUAUCUGCACAUGCGUUACCAGACAUUGCAUUGAGACAUUGGGACAGCAAGUGUGCAGGGAGUCAUCAGUGCUUUUAAUUAAACUGUGUAUUCCCUUUUUUGUGUUUUAGAGAACUUGUUUUUGUAUUGAACUGUUUCAGGCAUAAAUUCAAUCCAUUUCUGAAAUUGAACUUCAAGAUCAAAAGUACAACAAUCUUUUGGGCUGGGGGAAAGGGACCCUGGCUCAAUCAGUGUCCUCACUACUGCCACUUGUUUGAUCACUUUCAUAAAUAAACCCUAAAGCACUCUAGAUGUUGUCUGUUUAAUUUAACAAAAGUAUAUAGAGCCUUUGCAGUGAUCUUGUUUUCUAGUUGCUCACUAAGCUCUGUCCAGAUGCUCUGAUUAGGAGUAGCUAUGUUACCAUUUUGUACUAUGGCCUCUUUUGAUGAAUGGAGGACUGUGAAAAUGGAAUCUCUGUCAACUGCUGGUUUCCUGGGCAUCUGGCACAAGCUAAACAUAAUUACCCACUGAAAUAAUCCUGACUCAAUGUCAUGUACAGUAUAAAC